rnacentral:pre_miRNA from 1 species
UUUGACAUCACCAGAUGAUCUAGUUAAAGUUCAAGUUGUAAUUAUUUAUGUUUGGGGGCAUCAAGAUUCUGAAUUUGUAAUAAGUUCUUAUGUGAUGCUGCU